rnacentral:rRNA from 1 species
ACGUAUGGUGCAAGCGUUAUCCGGAUUUACUGGGUGUAAAGGGAGCGCAGGCGGAAGGCUAAGUCUGAUGUGAAAGCCCAGGGCUCAACCCCGGUACUGCAUUGGAAACUGGUCAUCUAGAGUGUCGGAGGGGUAAGUGGAAUUCCUAGUGUAGCGGUGAAAUGCGUAGAUAUUAGGAGGAACACCAGUGGCGAAGGCGGCUUACUGGACGAUAACUGACGCUGAGGCUCGAAAGCGUGGGGAGCAAACAG